CUCUUUAAGAGUGAUUUGAUGUUUCUUUAAGCAACACCCUGUCUCUAUGAAGAAGUGCCAACAGGGGAGAAGUUUCAAGCUUGCUAUUUUUAUUUAAGCUGCUGGAACAGUAUGGACAUAAUGCGUUACUGGUCGGCUGUGUUUGCUUCCCACACCAGCAAUAACAUGUUCUGAAUGAGUGUAGGAAGACUCCGACCACCAUUCUGCCAGAGCUGACUUGAUCCUGAGCUGGAGGCUGCUGAGUCUAAAUAAAUCACUCUGGAAUAACUUGAUGUGCAKUUCUGAGGCACGUGGCAUCAUCGGG